rnacentral:tRNA from 1 species
UCCAAGGUAGCUCAACGGUGGAGCACUCGGCUGUUAACCGAUAGGUUGUGGGUUCGAUUCCCACCCUUGGAGCCA